rnacentral:rRNA from 1 species
GUGCCAGCAGCCGCGGUAAUACGGAGGAUCCAAGCGUUAUCCGGAAUCAUUGGGUUUAAAGGGUCCGUAGGCGGGAUGAUAAGUCAGUGGUGAAAGUCUGCAGCUCAACUGUAGAAUUGCCAUUGAUACUGUUGUUCUUGAAUGAUUAUGAAGUGGUUGGAAUGUGUAGUGUAGCGGUGAAAUGCAUAGAUAUUACACAGAACACCUAUUGCGAAGGCAGAUCACUAAUAAUGUAUUGACGCUGAUGGACGAAAGCGUAGGUAGCGAACAGGAUUAGAUACCCUGGUAGUCUACGCCGUAAACGAUGGUUACUAGCUGUCCGGCCCGAUUGAGGGCUGGGUGGCCAAGCGAAAGUGAUAAGUAACCCACCUGGGGAGUACGUUCGCAAGAAUGAAACUCAAAGGAAUUGACGG